rnacentral:lncRNA from 1 species
UUUGGAGAUAGCCUGGUAGAAAUGACAACCACAAUGUUAAUACUAACAUAUGUAUUACAUGGCUUGUUUGUUCUUUCGCUUAAUAUUUUCAGAGCACCUACCUAUUACAGGCACUGUCACUUCUCACAAAACUGGGACAACUAACUCUUUAUCCAACAUCUGCUGGCUAAAUAAAGACAUGACCUUCACCUUUUGGGAUUGUUAAUUUAAAAUGGUUCCAUAAGAGCAAUGCAAAGACAGAGAUAUUUGGCAGCACUGCAGCUGGUGAUUUAUAUGGCUCUUCACAAGGUGUUACUUUGGGGUAUCAAGGUAUGGAUGCUUAAAUCAGCUGCAGGAAGUAAGAAAGAAGAAAAAAGGAGUGAUAAAGAUAAAAAAAAAUUAACCUUGGUCCUUCCACCAAGACCCAUUAAUUUCCAUAUCGUCAUCUGCAUAAGAGGGAAGAUUCCUACAUGA